GACGAACGCUGGCGGCGUGCUUAACACAUGCAAGUCGAGCGGACGGACGCGAUGCUUGUUUCUCUGAUGUUAGCGGCGGACGGGUGAGUAACAAGUGGAUAAUCACCUUCUCACUCUGGGAUAAUUACGGGAAGAAGGAGUUAAUAACACAGAAUAUUCUGAAUCGCUUGGUUGAUAAGUGAGAGACGGUCUUGCUGUCGCUUAUGGAUGGUUCCGCGCUGUAUUAGCUUGUUGGUAGGGUAACGGCUUACCAAGGCAGCGAUGCAUAGCCGCCCUGAGAGGGUGGUCGGCCACCCUGGAACUGAGACACGGUCCAGACUCCUACGGGAGGCGGCAGUAGGGAAUCUUCCGCAAUGGGCGGAGGCCUGACGGAGCAACGCCGCGUGAGGAAUGAAGGACUUCGGAUCGUAGAACACUGUUUUCGGGGAAGAACAUAGGUGUAAGUGUCUGUGCGCAGCUUGACGGUACCUAGUCAAAAAGCCACGGCUAACUACGUG
rnacentral:rRNA from 1 species